AGCGAACGCUGGCGGCAGGCCUAACACAUGCAAGUCGAACGAACUCUUCGGAGUUAGUGGCGGACGGGUGAGUAACACGUGGGAACGUGCCUUUUGGUUCGGAAUAACUCAGGGAAACUUGUGCUAAUACCGAAUGUGCCCUUCGGGGGAAAGAUUUAUCGCCAUUAGAGCGGCCCGCGUCUGAUUAGCUAGUUGGUGAGGUAACGGCUCACCAAGGCGACGAUCAGUAGCUGGUCUGAGAGGAUGACCAGCCACACUGGGACUGAGACACGGCCCAGACUCCUACGGGAGGCAGCAGUGGGGAAUCUUGCGCAAUGGGCGAAAGCCUGACGCAGCCAUGCCGCGUGAAUGAUGAAGGUCUGAGGAUAGUAAAAUUCUUUCACCGGGGACGAUAAUGACGGUACCCGGAGAAGAAGCCCCGGCUAACUUCGUG
rnacentral:rRNA from 1 species